rnacentral:rRNA from 1 species
AUUGAACGCUGGCGGCAUGCUUUACACAUGCGAGUCGAACGGCAGCGCGGGCUUCGGCCUGGCGGCGAGUGGCGAACGGGUGAGUAAUGCAUCGGAACGUGCCCAGUAGUGGGGGAUAGCCCGGCGAAAGCCGGAUUAAUACCGCAUACGACCUGAGGGUGAAAGCGGGGGACCGAAAGGCCUCGCGCUAUUGGAGCGGCCGAUGUCGGAUUAGCUAGUUGGUGGGGUAAAGGCUUACCAAGGCGACGAUCCGUAGCUGGUCUGAGAGGACGACCAGCCACACUGGGACUGAGACACGGCCCAGACUCCUACGGGAGGCAGCAGUGGGGAAUUUUGGACAAUGGGGGCAACCCUGAUCCAGCCAUGCCGCGUGCGGGAAGAAGGCCUUCGGGUUGUAAACCGCUUUUGUUCGGGAAGAAAUCCUCUGGGCUAAUACCCCGGGGGGAUGACGGUACCGGAAGAAUAAGCACCGGCUAACUACGU